UUGCAUAUCAUUUUCCCAGACUGUAUAUGGUGGGGGUAGAAGUAGUCGACCUUCUAGGGGCCACUUUUUCUUAAAGUAAAUUCUAGUAAGGGUGGAUAAUUCAUUCAAAUUCAGCUAAGGAUGAUACAGGGAGUGGUUAAAAGCAAGCUGAACAAAAUGUAUUACGACACGUUAUGCUGUUAGCAUAUGAAUUUCAACCCAUGUAUUUUUAAUAAAAUGAAACAUCUCCCUCCCCCUUUCCCCCACCUAUGCUAAACUUUAGGUUAAGUUUUGGAGGGCUUCUGAUGACCUUUUAAAAACCUAGGCUCAACAGUAUCUGGUAGUUAGUAGGCAUUUGAAUGAAUGAACAGAUCUAAAUUUUAAAACAGCCCACCCACUCAUGGACUGAUAAAGACCCAUCUCAAGGGUAUUUAGGCCUCUCUGAAAGUAAGAUUGUGACAUAUGAAAUCAUUAUUACUAAAUUUUCUUUAGGAUUAAGAGGAUAAUUCUUCUCUGUAUGGAAAUAUGUAAUAUACUUGGUAGGUCAUACAGAGAAAAUGCAGUUUUCUUGUGGACUCAGUCUUGCCAAGACAAAACACAAGUAGUAUAAAUGUUUAUCAUGAUACUAAAACUCCAAGUAGAAUAUUUUUAAUUUCCCAGCUUUACUCCUGUGGAACUAUAAUACAUG
rnacentral:lncRNA from 1 species